AGAUUUUACUUUAUCCACCCAUGAACAUGGCUGGCACACUGCAGGUGCACAGCAAAUAUUUGUGGAAUGGGUGAAUGUGCUUCCAGAUCCUCAGCAGUAAAAUGAGAAGAACAGUGUCACUCAUUGAUUAUUGGAGGGAAAGGAAAGAAGAAAAGAAAGAGAAAAAAAGGAGUGAAGGAGAGGAAGAGGAAGAAAAAGAGGGAGAGAGAACGGGAAUAUUGCUUUGUUCUAAAAAUGGGUAUUAAUAAUGGCCGAUCAAUAUUUUGUGUAUUUAAAGUGGAGAAUGUAUAUUUUGUGUGUUUAAAAUGGAGAGCUCUAUAAAUAUUUAUUAAGUUUACUUGUUCCGGAUCUGAGUUCAAGUCCUGGUUGUCCUCAUCAAUUUUCUGUCUCGUUGAGUCUAAAUCUCUUUAUGGGUCUUAUGUAUCUGGGUGUUAGGAUCGUUAGCUCUUAUUGUUGCAUUGAUCCUUUUACCACUACAUCUUUGUUGCUUUGAAAUCUAUUUUAUCAGAUGCGAGAAUUGCAACUCCUGCUUUUUAUUUAUUUAUUUAUUUUUGCUCUCCAUUUGGUUGGUAAGUCUUUCUCCAUCCCUUUGUUUUGAGUCUUUGUGUAUCUUUGGAUGUGAAAUGGGUCUGGAUGCAGCAUAUCAUUAGGUUUUGGCUGCAUCUUUUGAUUGGGGGAUUUAGUGAACUUAAAUUUAGGGUUACUGCCAUUUGAUGUUAACUGGCUAUUUAUAAAUAAGAUUCAUAUAUCAUCCUCAAACAUAAUAGGAAACAUUAAAAUAUAGAAAUAAGUCAACUGUUCAAUACUAGAACAUAGCAAAUUUAUUAGAACAUAGCAACUCUAUCAUGUUAUAUUCACUUGAUAGAGUUGCUUAGUCAUUGUACAUCAUGAUUUUGAAGCAUAUUUCUUGACACAUAUAAUGCCAUUCAUUCAUUUGAUCUGUUUUGGUGACUAACAUAUACUAGACACUGUUGAAGGUGCUGAUUUUCAUAGUGAAAGGCCUGUUCUCUGGAGCACAGAUGCAGGAGAGGGCAAAAAAUAAAUAAGCGAACAGAUACAUCACUUAUGUGAUACAUACCCUAAGAAGAAAAAUAAAAUCAGAUUAGAGGAGAGCAAAUAUGAUACAAUGAUAUCAUGUUAGGAAAUACUCAUUUAGCAUAAUCCCAGAUUUGUAAGGUAAUGAACCAUUGCCACCACCACCAGUACAAUAAAUAGAUGUACAUAAAGACAGAAAAAUGACUUGAAGGAAAAAGGUUAAAAGGUUAACCAUUGUUAGCUCAGGGUGGUAGAACAGGUGAUUUUUAAAAAAUACAUUCCCAUUUUCCCAAAAUUUUUAUAAUAUUAUUUUGUAUCAUAAACCACAAUAUACAUUAUUAAAAGAUUCAUUUGAUGUGUUUAAAAUGAAAAUGUUAUAUAUACAUGUUUAUUGUUAAGUCUAAUUACUUUAAAAAAAUAAUAGUUAUUAUGAUAAGCACAGAGUUUGUAAAAAGAAAUCCUAUUUUGGAAAUAUUCUUUAUCUCUGUAAAUUUAGCACAGAUCAUGUUUUUGUCUCUUGCAAGCUCAGAGGCAUGAUUUUUCAGUAUCACAUAGUAAGCGUAUUCGUCUAUUGGGGCAAACCAAUAUUUAGCAAGCUCAUCAGACCAGGAUACAAAGCGAAUGCCUAUUUAUUAUUUAGAUGAGGAAGAAUGCUAGCACAUGGACUGGAAUACAGGUUGAUAUAAGCAACAUAUUUUCUCCAUGAAGCCAUGGAAAAGGUUUUAUUAUUAGAAGGUUGUCUGGAGAGCCUAAAAUUACAGCAAGUAGGUGGUAGUUUUAUGAUUUGAUUUUCUAAUGAAAUGUUUCUCCAAGUGUAGGUCCAUGGACCUACAUCAGUCUCAUCAAGGAUGAUCAUUGAAAUGCAAGUCCUAGAUACUCAGCCAAACCUACUUUAUAGGAAUCUCCAGGUAUGAACCCAGAGUCUGCAUUUUUAGCAAGUAUUCAAUGUGAUACUUAUGUGCAUGGAAGUUUAGAAACCACUGGUACCUAGUGCCAGUGGAACCAGGAUAGAAAGUAGCAAUACACCACCUUCUCCAUAUGGAAGACCUUGCCAACAGGAAAUUAGCAACUUGAGGGUGUUGGUAAGACUUACACUUUCCUAAAUCUAACUGGGGAACAUUGCUGAUUUCAAACUUGGAGAUUCUACUUUUCUCUGAUUCCUUAACUAUUUAUCUUAACUUCAUUUAUUUACUGUCAAGUCAUGGGAGAAAAAUCAUUCUUUUUUUUUUUUUGAGACAGAGUUUCGCUGUUGUUACCCAGGCUGGAGUGCAAUGGCGCGAUCUCGGCUCACCGCAACCUCCAUCUCCUGGGUUCAAGCAGUUCUCCUGUCUCAGCCUCCCAAGUAGCUGGGACUACAGGCGCGCGCCACCAUGCCCAGAUAAUUUUUGUGUUUUUAGUUGAGACGGUGUUUCACCUUGUUGACCAGGAUGGUCUCAAUCUCUUGACCUCGUGAUCCACCCGCCUCAGCCUCCCAGAGUGCUGGGAUUAUAGGCGUGAGCCACCGCGCCCAGCUGAGGAAAAUCAUUCUUUUGCUUUUCUUAUCACUGCCCAGAUAAGAAAUAAUACAUAUUUGUAUGUAUCUUUACAGAGGUGUAAUGACAUACAGUGACAGUUUGACAUACAGUGACAGUUUGACAUAGUGAUGAGAUCUGACCAGUGCAUAUACCCAUGUAACCAAUACCUCAAAUGAAAAAUAGGGUGUGCCAUUAUCCUAGGAGGCUCACUAGUAUCCCUUUUCAUUUUAUCACUGCCCCCUAUCUAUCCUGGCAACCACUAUUAUGGUUUCUAUCCUCACAGGUUAGUUUUGCCUGUUCUUGAACUUUUUGAAAUGGUGUACUAAUUAGAGAAAAAUUCCAUAACCAUUAUACAAGGAAUUAUACCCACUUUUACUAGUUCUUUUAUGAGGAGCCACUCUAAAAAUUCUUAGGAAACUCAAACACAUUGCAAUUUGCUUUCUUAAAGAUGGAAUACCUUAAUUAAGUAACAUUUCUUCACCUGGAGAUACACACAGCAUCCUGCUGAGGACCUUGGAAACUGUCCUUCUAAAUCUAGUUAGCUAGUUUUAAGCCUUCAGCUGGACAUAUCCAAUUGAAAAAUUCUGAUAAUAAAAGAGAAUAUGCAGAUAAUCCAAAAAUGGAAUCAGUUCUCACCCAAAUGAAUUACACUCCCAAGCUCACUCCCAAGCUUCUGCAAGAUGAAUUUGAAAAUCAACUAGCUGAAAUGCAAUUCAUAAUACUUAGGAAUAAGAAAGUUUAGAAAUCAGUAAAUGUAUGCUCUUUGAUUCCCAGACUGUGGACCAGGAACUUUAAUCCUGGAUUAGAUUUCAAAGAGGAUCAGUAACAUUUUCCCCAAACUUGGAUUUCAACAUACUCUUAUUUACUUUUGUACAACCUUUUCAGCCCUACAAUCACAGUCCUUGACAGGGCCUAAAAGAAUGUGACACACUUGAGAAAUAGUGCAUACUUUCUCCAAUCCAUUAUCAUAAUCCCCUUGGCCCCAUAACACUCUCUCUGGUCCUUCCCAUUUUUGCAUGCUUUGAUCCUACCAGGAUUUUAGCAUCCCUGCUACUAUUUUUGUUGUUCUUUGCCACUCUCAUGCAGUGAUCAUUUACCUCCAUCUUUCUGAACAUCCAUUAUACAUCCUCACUUAAAACGCUCUGUGCCAUCACUAGUUUCUUUGAGAAUCUCUCCAUCUCUCGUUUCUUCUCAUUGGAAUUACCCAAAGCCGUGCUUCUUGAUGCUGUUUUCUUUUCUAGAAACUUGUGAAAUUACGCCAUAUUUUCUUAAAAUAUUUUGAAGUCUAACUUCCUGAAGUCCUGUAUCCACCUUUGUUCUAGCUCAAGUCUGCCCUCCCCCGAAGAUGACAGGCACAUUCUCUAGCUGUCAUCCUUUCCACUCUGCCAAGUGGCUUCUUUCUAUAUAUUGGAAUCGGUCAGAGCACAGUUAUUUUUAUUUCUUCCUCUACCUUCCAGGACAUGAAAUUAUUAGAGAGGCAAGUGAAAACCUCUGCUUUUACCUGAAUGAAGUAUCCUGAAUUUUAUCCUUGUUAAUCAUGUGUACUGUGCCAAUUUUGUGGCUUUCCUCCAUGUGGCUCAGCUGUGCUUCCACAAAAACAUCACUUCUGUUCCUCUGUCCUUUCAUCUUCAUCCAAGUGUUCAGGUAUUCCUCUGAAUCUAUUGUUACCACAGUGCUCCUCCUCCUCCUCUCAACAGGUCUUUUGUACACAGCACACCCUUCUAUCGCUAUGUUCCCAUGGAUCUGUUCCAGCCUGCCAACUCUCAGUGGCAUCUGUGAGGUCUUGUUUGACACUCUGUGCUGUAAUCUCAAUGUUACCAUGUUGUUCAUGUUCUGUGCAUGAUACCUGGACAUCUGCUGCCUAUGUUUUGUUUCUGAUGUCCUUCCCAACUGUUUUCUCGUUGAACUACUCGGCACCUCCCUCACUGUUGAAAGUCUUUCAGGCCCUCCUUCAUAUCAUCCACGGAAACCCAUUUCAGUUUUAUCUAGGUAUUUUUUUCUCCCUUCCCAUCUGUUUUCCAUUUAUAGCCCUUCUGGCCAGAUGAGUUAGUCUCUGACUAAACACAUUCUUUUCAGUCUUUGAAAAAUUCUCUUCACUCUUAGCCAAAUAGCCGUCAUUCCUACAUUUGAAGCUACAGCCUUAAAAGCCAGCACCAACUAUGUACCUAGUCAUUCUUUUUUCAUAUUACAUUAUUAUUCUCAAUGUUUGUGUCCCUAAGUCUUUUAUUUAUGUUCCAGACUUCACAGCAUCUUGUGAUGCUUCUAUGUUCUAUUUUGAUGGGUUUUCAUUUCCCAAUAACUUGGCAGUAGAUGACUUUGACCAGCCUCAGUAGGUUCUGCCAUAGGCUAGAUUCAUAAUCCAUGAAUAUAAUACCCACUUCUUACAUGGUUUGGUUGUGUCCAUUUACAUGCACUAUAAUAUUCCUUACCAGGGAGUCCCCAAGUUCCAAUAUGUGAUUUUGCUCCAUAGCUUUACCAUUACUAGGUCCUCCUCUGUGGGAAAGGAAUUUUAAAGAGGUGGUAGAGUACAGUAGAAAGAAGGCUUGCUCUGAUACUUACUACUGGGUAGCUAAAAAGAACAAGUAACUGAGAGGACUCUAAGCCUUUGCUUUUUCAUCCUUUAGGUAUUGACUUUGCAGGGUUAUGAUGAUGAUUUCAUAAGAAAUAUGAAACGACUUUUUUAUACCCCAUACUUUUAGUUCUGGGGUGUACGUGCAGAACGUGCAGGUUUGUUACAUAGGUAUAAACAUGCUAUGGUGGUUUGCUGCAUCCAUCACCCUGUCAUCUGCAUUAGGUAUUUCUCUUAAUGAUAUCCCUCCCCUAAUCCUCCCCACCCUCUGACAGGCCCCAGUGUGUGAUGCUCCCCUCCCUGUGUCCAUGUAUUCAAAAUCACUUUUUAAAAAAUAUUUUAACUUUUAUUUUAGGUUCAGGGAUACCUGUGCAGAUUUGUUACAAAGGUAAACUUGUGAGUCGGGGGUUUGGUGUAUACAGAUUACUUUGUCACUUAGGUACUAAGCCUAGUAACCAACAUUUUUUUUUCCUGAACGUCUUCCUUCUCCCCUCUUCUACUCUCAAGUAAACCCCAGUGUCUGUUGGUCCCCUCUAUAUGUCCAUGUGUUCUUAUUACUUAGCUCCCACUUACAAGUGAGAACAUGUGGUAUUUGAUUUUCUAUUCAUUCAUUAGUUUGCUAAGGCUAGUGGCCUCCAGUUUCAUCUAUGUUCCUGUAAAGGACACGAUCUCAUUCUUUUUUAUGGCUGCGUAGCUUCACAUGGUAUAUACGUACCACCUUUUCUUUACCCAUAGUACUGUUGAUGGGCAUUUAGGUUGAUUGCAUGUCUUUGCUAUUGCAAAAGGUGCUGCAGUGAACAUACAGUUGCAUGUGUCUUUAUGGUAGAAUUAUUUAUAGUUCUUUGGGUAUAUACCCAGUAGUGGUAUUGCUGGGUUGAAUGGUAGUUCUGUUUUUAGUUUUUUGAGGAAUCAUCACACUGCUUUCCACAAUUGUUGGACUAAUUUACAUGAAACCACUUUGUACACUAAGAGUCAUACAAACAUAGGUUUUAAGACUAAUCAUUGGAUAUUUAGUUUUUUUUUUUUUUUUUUGAGAUGGAGUUUCACUCUUGUUACCCAGGCUGGAGUGCAAUGGCGCAAUCUCGGCUCACCACAACCUCCACCUCCUGGGUUCAGGCAAUUCUCCUGCCUCAGCCUCCUGAGUAGCUGGGAUUACAGGCACAUGCCACCAUGCCCAGCUGAGUUUUUGUAUCUUUAGUAGAGAUGGGGUUUCACCAUGUUGACCAGGAUGGUCUCGAUCUCUUGACCUCAUGAUCCACCCGCCUCGGCCUCCCAAAGUGCUGGGAUUACAGGCGUGAGCCACUGCGCCCAGCCCCGGAUAUUUCGUUUUUUACAAGCCUACAGAGCACUGCAUUUUCUGCAACCCUACGUUCAUUCAUUUCUUAAUCAUGUCCUUUCCCCAGAGCAUGAUAGCAGGCAUUGCGAAAGUCUGAACACAGCCCAAACAUUCAUACCAUGCCCCCCUACUUUUUUUUAAAUUUUAACACUGCAUACACAAAUGUUUCUGCUCAUCUCAGCAGUGUGCGAGAAUAUUUCUAUUUUCUAGAAUCCUGGGCAGUUCUGACCUCUAGCUCAGGCAAAAUCCACCAAAGGCUAGCUUCAUCUGUGAACUUGGCACAGUACAACCUUCUUUGCCCUAACUAUGAUGGGUCUGCAUGAUUUCUCUAAUUUGGUUGUAGGAUAAUCAUAAUAACAACUAAUGACUAUAAUAGCAACUACAGUUCUCAUAAAUUGAAAACCUACUAUGUGUCACAUGCUGUGCUAAGUUCUUUAUAUUCAUCUAUGUUUUUCAACCAUUAACAAAAUCAUUGCUCUCCUGAGGAGCCUUUUAAGACAUAUUUUUCUUAAUCCCUCUAUGAAAUUUUAAUAUCAUAUAUAUAUAUACUGUGUAUUUUUCUGAGUUCCCAAGAACCAACUUUUAUGCUGUAUGGGGAAAUACUACCUGGUUGAGAAUGCAUGACAUAUUUUCUUCUCUCAGUCAUUCCCCAAGCAAUUGCUAAACUGUUUGCUCAGUCCCUGAGCUUAUUGCACAACUAUUGACCCCUGGGAAAAAAACCUUGAUUCAGAGGUAACGGGCACAUACUCCUUCUGAAGAAAGGCUGCAUUUUUCACACAGGGCCCAGCUCCUAGGUCAUGCCUGGGCAGACCCCAGCUUGAUGAAGUCCUGUGGCCUCCCUCUCUGUAUGUACUAGUUUCUUUGUGACCUCCUGCCCCAGGACCUCGAAUGGGAUGCUGGACAUUCCUCCUGAGAAACCCAAGGAGGAUAUUAAAAAGACAGCCACAGUUUUCCUACUGCUUGCUGCCAGAUUUCUUGGGGGCCCAGCUGCUGUGGAGUCCAGCUUGCUUGCAGGGAUAAUUCUGCUAGUAUCAUUAAAUACAUGAAUCAUCUCAAUCAUCCACAGGUAGGUCUCAGCCUUUGAGGCAUGGGAAUCCUCUAACAUUUGUUUGGUGGACAUGCCCUCUGGCUCUGGCUGAUGUUUCAAGCUGACUUUUAUGCUCUCAUUUCCGUAUCUGUGGCCUCCUCAGACACUCACCUUCUGGACCUGUCCAACUGGAAUUCCUUCACUCAGGUAGUGCCUCUCCUAUUCUCUGCAAAGCUACCUUAAGCAUCUCUACCUUCCUUAAUUUCCGAACUUCACACUGCCUCCUUACGCUCAGAUGAUCUUGCCUCAGUCUUCACAGAGAAAGUCAAAUCCAUCAGAUGUGAGCAAACCCUCCAUUUAUUCUGUGUUACCAAAUGGAGCUUAGAACUAUACUUAGAAUAUUAAUUGUUAACACAUGUGUUACAGAUAUGUAAUGGAUGACUCCACUCUUUGAAAAUUGUAUAGGCCCAGUGUGGUGGUGGCUCAUACCUGUAAUCCUAACAUGUCAGGGGGGUAAGGCAGGAAGAUCACAUGAGCCCAGGAGUUUGAGUCCAGCCUGGGUAAAAUAGUGAAACACUGUCCCUUAAAAAAAAAAAAAAAUUAACCAGGCCUGGUGGCCUGUGCCUACAGUCCCAGAUACUUGGGAGGCUGAGGUAGGAGGGUCACUUAAGCUCUGGAGGUCAAGGCUGCAGUGAGCUGUGAUUGUGUCACUGUACUCCAGUCUGGGUGACAGAGUGAGACCGUCUUGAAAAAAAAAAGAAAAUAGUAUAUUUUCCUUAGCAGGUGCACUGUUGCCUCUAUAAUCUUAUCUUCGUUAUUGGUUUGCUUAUUUGUAUUAAAACCUAUGAGUGGAUCUAAAGUCAAGUUUUAAUAUAUAUGUGUGAAAUUUUGUAAAAUACAUCCCAAAGAUUACCAUUCAUAGAGUAUUUUACAGUAUUUGAAAUAGGGCAUUUUGUGUUUUGCUAUUACCUUCAGAGAGCUUUUCUAGUCUCAAUUCU